GCCUGGGGAGUACGGUCGCAAGACUGAAACUCAAAGGAAUUGACGGGGACCCGCACAAGCAGUGGAGUAUGUGGUUUAAUUCGAAGCAACGCGAAGAACCUUACCAGGUCUUGACAUCCCUCUGACCGGUACAGAGAUGUAUCUUUCCUUCGGGACAGAGGAGACAGGUGGUGCAUGGUUGUCGUCAGCUCGUGUCGUGAGAUGUUGGGUUAAGUCCCGCAACGAGCGCAACCCUUGAUCUUAGUUGCCAGCACUUCGGGUGGGCAC
rnacentral:rRNA from 1 species